AUGUGUAGUAAAUGGUUACUUCUGAAGAAGGCAUAUGACCACCAUAUAUCAUAUUUUCUUUAUUAGAGCUCUUGAAAAUGAUGGAUGUUUUGUGGCACACCUUGGUUUGUUUUUUACAAUAACCACACAUAUCUCAUGUUACCCAGAUUUUUAAAAUCAUUUAAGAUAAGAUAGCAACGCUAAAAAUAUAGAACAAGUCACUCAAAUACUCAAAAUACCAAAACUUAGCAAAUUGCAUCAUGUGUAACUUUAGAAUUUAACCACUGAAAUUAAUCUACAAAGAAAUUACUGAUUCAUCGUUCAUAUUUGUUAAAAAAAAUGUAUUGUUGCAAAGAAGUGAUAUACCCAGUACUUUUUAAUAGUUUCAUUUAAAUUUAGAACCAUGCAUUGAAAAUUUAGUCUUGCUUCCAUACCGGUACUUUGAAUGAGAUAGGAAGAAUGAGACAAAACAUAUUUACUGGUAUAUGCCAUUUUUUUUUGUGUUUUGAAUCAUCCUCUAUGAUUUCUCUUUCUCUUCUAUAUUGUUUAUAUAAUAUUAGCCAAAUAAUAAAACAAAUACGUGGCUCUAAGUAAUGGAUAUCAUUUGGACUAAAACAUACUUUGGCAGAUCUAGGAAAUGUUCACUAUAUACAUGUAUACCCGCAAUCUCAUUAAUUGAAUUACUGCAGGUUCGUUAUGUGGUCAGCAGUACAAGAUUAUAACGGCACUGGGGUGUACAUUUGUUUGGUGUUAUACCAAUAUCAUACCGACGACACAUACCAUCUCAUGGCCAAAGUACACAGUGUCAGAGACUUACACAUACAUCAUUGUCACUGAGGCAUACCAGCAAUCUGAUGAUAGUAUCGGUCCAUUCCAAAGUGUAUCAAGAGGACAAUGGAAGAUAACAGCUGCUGCUAUCGUACGAGGACAUCUUAUCUAUCUCCUGAGAGAGUCGUACUUCACUGACCAAACCCAACAGUUCAAAGGGAUUGUGUAUUCAAACUCAAAGACUCGGGGAAAUAAUGACUUCAAAUGUUAUCAUUACACACCAUCUAAAAUAUCCUGCCAUGCAACAUGAUACGGAGUUACCACCCUUGGUCCAACAAAAGAGGGAGCUGUGCCAGAAAAGCCAUGAGAAAAUGGGUACAAAGACUGCAGCCAUGUCUAGCCGAGAGGAAACAAGAAAAGAUCCGCUGAUAGACAUCAUGAUCAACGUUUUCUGGAGCCAGUAACAUCUUCCCUAGACCCAUUUCCGAACUUGCUGAAAAAGUGAUGAAAUGGGCUGAGGGUAAAAGCAAUUGUUAAUAGAUUUUUAAAAAGAACAGCAAAAAGAUGUUCCUGCUUUUUUUUUUUUGAUGUUCAGAGGCAUUCUCCACUGAUACCUUCUUGUGGAAUAAGGUAGAAAAAGAUGCAAUAGAACCGAAGCAACAAAACCCAAAUGAUAACAACAGGAGAAAAUAUUAUAUGUGGUUGUGUGUGUCUUUUAAAAAACUUCUGAGAGAACUUUCAAGUACUACCACAUGGAUGACAUUAAAGAGAAAUGGCCUUUAGAGUGCAGCAAUCCCAGUGUCAGCUGCUCUCUACACUUCUGAGAGAUCCUUGUACAAUACAAACCAAUGGCCUCUGUGAUCAUCCCUCACAAAGCAAAAAAAAUUUUUUUUUAUUUUAAACUUACACAUGUCCGUGACUUCAAAAGCAAAGGUGAUGUCUUAACCAGAGUCUAAUAAACACUACACAUUCAAAUUAUUAUACCUGUUACCUCUUCCUAUACAACAUUGGUUUUCUUACUCGUGUGACUUCUUCAUUUGCUUGCUGCCCUUAGGUGAAAAAUCUUCCACCCAGGCGAAGCUGACCUCAAUGCCCUAUAUUGUAAUCACUUCUUCGUCAAAAUUUUUACGAUGACCUGAACUACCGUCUAGUUAAAGUGACAAAAAUAGAAAAUAAACCUCAUUUAUAUUACCAAUAAAACUUUAAAUAUAUUCCUGUCAAAAGUAAAUCUUUUGUUGCAUUUAAAAAAGGUAUUUGAAAACAAUCUUCCAUGAAACCCAGUUGGCAUUGCCGUUUCCUUUUUUUUUAAUGAAAGAACCGAAUUUUGCAGAUGCAGUGAUGCAUCUAAGAAAAACACCUGCAGAUGAAACAAAUGCAAAAAAAUAUGUAUCUCUGUUAAUCACGGAUUUUAAAAAUCUACAGAAACAAUUACCUGCAUCUGUGUAAUUUUACGUCAUUGAAUUUAU